AUUGAACGCUGGCGGCAGGCCUAACACAUGCAAGUCGAACGAGUGGCGGACGGGUGAGUAAUGUCUGGGAAACUGCCUGAUGGAGGGGGAUAACUACUGGAAACGGUAGCUAAUAACGCAUACCAUCGGAUGUGCCCAGAUGGGAUUAGGUAGUAGGUGGGGUAAAGGCUAACCUAGGCGACGAUGCCUAACUGGUCUGAGAGGAUGACCAUCCACCCUGGAACUGAGACACGGUCCAGCCUCCUACGGGAGGCAGCAGUGGGGAAUAUUGCACAAUUGGCUCAAGCCUGAUGAAGCCAUGCCGCGUGUAUGAAGAAGGCCUUCGGUUUGUAAAGUACUUUCAGCGGGGAGGCGUUACCCGCAGAAGAAGCACCGGCUAACUCCGUGCCAGCAGCCGCGGUAAUAC
rnacentral:rRNA from 1 species